rnacentral:lncRNA from 1 species
CCGGUUGGUUGGGAAAGGUUUCAUGGAGACUGAAACCCAGACCUUGGAUUCCCCAGAUGGAGGAAGGAAGGGCCUGGCAGGCAAAGGAUAUUAGAUGACUAAAAGUGAGGCUUUGAGGGAUCAACUCACUGCCUAGGGUCACCGGGAUUGGAAUCAGAGUCUGGAGGAUUCCAGAGACCAUGACACUACCCUGGCCAAUGAGAGGGUGUGUGAUAAAAACAGUUGCAGGCAAAUGGACAUUUAUCUAAAGUGUGGGAGUGAAGAAGAUAAGGUAGGUUUCAAAGGCAAUAGAGAGGCAGGUCUUUUUGUUUUGU